AUAGGUUGCCUGUGUCUGUACCCCGUUUCAUCUUCACUUCUGGGAACCAGGCUGAUGGAGAAGUCUUCUAGCAGAAGUACUAUGGGUCAUGAUGGCAGAAAGAAGAGCAAACUUGGUGGACCAUGUGCUGGCCCUUGAUGGGUCUACUCAGAUGGGUCACGUAUCUCUGCUCACAAGGGCACACAAGGGAAACUCUUGAAAUUCCAGGGAACUUUAUUUACUGAAGCCAAAAGACUCCAAUAGUCAUGAAUAGUGUCAUCUCCAGAAAGGUAGCUACCCUUGCAUUUCAUCAGGGCUCUGCUUGCAAGAAUCGCAAGGCAGAUCAAGCCUAGCGGCCUAAGAAUGCACACCACCAUGAGGGAAAACCAGCACAGUACCAGAAACGGAGUUCAAACAGAUGUCAAGCUGCAAGGUUUGAGAGAACCACCACUCUACAAGACAUGAGAUUGAAUAACUGAGGCUUGAUAGAGUUACAUCACUUGUCCAAAGAGAUAAUGCCAGUGAAUGGAAUAGCCAGAUCGAAUUCCAGAAUCCGUAAAGCUCCACUGCUUCUCUCUGAAUGUAAUAACCCAUCCACAAGCCCUAAGAUAUUAGACACAUCAGUGAUCACUCCAUCUGCUUUUGGCCCAUUGCUGUUGUCAGGAUUUAUGCAUUUAUGUCUGCAAUAAUUAUUUAUUGAGGACCUUCUCUCUUGCAAUUGCAUAUGGCCUUAUAACUGAAUUCUGACUUUAUGUCUCUCUUAGGAUAGACAGAUAAAAAUUUUUCAUAUGUGAUCUUCUUUCUGUCCCCUACCUCUCAGCUAUGAGCCUGAAACAGCAGAUUCAGUAGAACAGAGUUUCUCAGGAAUGGCAGAGCCACAAGUUGGGAGGAGCCCAGCUCUGUCCAACAACCUGGAACAUCCAUCAACCAGGAAAACUGUUGCACUUUAUGUGAUUAAGAAACAUUUUUUAAGGAAAAAAGCAGUAAAUUUUUGGGUUAUAUUUGUUGCAAUAGCUGUGUUACUUUCCUAAUGCACAAUCACAAAUGUAAAAUGCCACACACAGAGUGUGAGGAAAUAUAUUGCUAUUGGACUACUUGUAGUCUAUUUAAUUUUUUUAUAUAGCUAUAGCCAGAUCUGGGGUGAAAUGGUUUAGAAUAAUAAUUUCCAAUAGUAUACAUCAUACCUUUAAAAAGACUUUUAUGGAUGGAUAAAUAUCUAAUUAUGGAACUGCCCUGCAACGUAAGUGGUGAGAGAAACUCUUUAUAUAUGCUUUGUUUUUUUCUGAAUGCAUAGGUUCAGAAUUAUUAAACAAAUCCUCAUCUUUUGACAGCCAGUAAUCAAUUUCUCAUUUGCAGGGAAUCUAAUUGCAUUAGAGGGGACACUGGGGAAGUUAUGGACUACCUCAUCUUUCUACUAUAAAAAAUGAAACUACUUGUCUGUAUUGAAUUUGAUUUUAUAUGUUCAAUGAAAUAUAUCAUAUCCUUAUAAUAAAGUUAUAUAAGUUGC
rnacentral:lncRNA from 10 species